UGAUUCUGGAUCAAUGUUUCC
ensembl:piRNA 21ur-3454 ncRNA